rnacentral:rRNA from 1 species
AUUGAACGCUGGCGGCAGGCCUAACACAUGCAAGUCGAGCGGAUGAGGAGAGCUUGCUCUCUGAUUUAGCGGCGGACGGGUGAGUAAUGCCUAGGAAUCUGCCUGGUAGUGGGGGAUAACGUCCGGAAACGGGCGCUAAUACCGCAUACGUCCUACGGGAGAAAGCAGGGGACCUUCGGGCCUUGCGCUAUCAGAUGAGCCUAGGUCGGAUUAGCUAGUUGGUGAGGUAAUGGCUCACCAAGGCUACGAUCCGUAACUGGUCUGAGAGGAUGAUCAGUCACACUGGAACUGAGACACGGUCCAGACUCCUACGGGAGGCAGCAGUGGGGAAUAUUGGACAAUGGGCGAAAGCCUGAUCCAGCCAUGCCGCGUGUGUGAAGAAGGUCUUCGGAUUGUAAAGCACUUUAAGUUGGGAGGAAGGGCAGUAAGUUAAUACCUUGCUGUUUUGACGUUACCGACAGAAUAAGCACCGGCUAACUUCGUGCCAGCCGCCGCGGUAAGAC